rnacentral:lncRNA from 1 species
ACUUCCCAGGCCAAGCGAGCCAGGAACCAAGCCACAACUGCAACCUACAACACAGCUGCGGCAACACCGGAUCCUUAACCCACUGUUCUGGGCCAGGGAUGGAACCUGCAUCCCAGCACUUCAGAGAUGCCGCCAAUCCCAUUGCGCCACAGCAGGAACUCCAUAAACUUAUAAUUUUUUUUAUCAGCCCUCAGUCGGUCUGAGUCCUUGAUCCAAAAAGGCCAAGCAGUUCAAGAGAAUCUAUGGGUCAAAGCAAAGGGUCACAGAUGGAGUUGGGUUUGGGAACCUGGGUUCAGUUACGUUCGACAGGGUUUUGUCACCUGAGGCAUAGGUGAAGAGAACGCUGCUAAAAUGCUGUACUGGAGUUCCCAUCGUGGCACAGUGGAAAUGAAUCUGACUAGAAACCAUGAGGUUGUGGGUUCAAUACCUGGCCUCACUCAGUGGGUUAAGGAUCUGGCAUUGCCGUGAGCUGUGGUGUGGGUCGCAGAUGCGACUCGGAUCUGGCGUUGCUGUGGUUCUGGCGUAGGCCAGCAGCAAUAGCUCUGAUUAGACCCCUAGCCUGGGAACCUCCAUAUGCCGUGGGUACGGCUCUCAAAGGACAAAAAACAAAAUAAUAAUAAUAAUAAUGAUAAAAUGCUGUACUUAUUUGGGCAGCUCCUUUUUCAAACUCUCCCUUCAUGUGGCAUCUCUCCUGAUUCUGCUCCUCCCUCUCGGACCUUGCUUUCUCAGUCUCCUUUGCUCUUACUUGCCUCUUAGAGAUUGGUAUUCCCCACGAUUUCAUUCCUGGGAUUCUUCUUUCACUUAGGACUCUGGGCAAUCUCAUCCACUCCCAUGACAGCAGUGACUGUGUAAAUGCUGACAACUCCCCAGCAUUUAUCUGUAGCCCAGAGCUCUGUACUAUAACCAGAUGCACACAUCUAACGCCCCCUGUACACCUCCAUCUGAAUGCUCACUAAGCAUCUCAAGUCCACCGUUUCCCCCUCCAACCAACUCCUUCUUUUUUCAUGUCUUUGUGAUGGUGGCAACAUCCACCAGUCACACAUGUCAGAAGCCUGGAAGCCACUUCAAACCCCUUCCCCACCCUACAUAUAUAUAUCCUUAAAUGCCUCUCAAGUGCAUCUUCUUUCCUCCACUAUUAUGUUAAUUUGAUUCAUGUUUUCAUCAUUUCUCCCAAUAAUCAUGGCACUGUUAUAUAUAUUAGUUGGGAUUUUAUCGAUCACGAUUCUGCCAUUUUAGGAAGAAAAUAAAAAAACAUUUAUUGAACAGAGACAUACGUGGAAUGAAAGGAGAAACUGAUCAAUCACUGGAAAGGCAGCUCCAGGGCAGUUCCAGGGACCUUGGCAGCAAGCAAGUAGCCCAGGGACUGUCUCUCGAGCGUCUGCUAUGAAUGUGACUUGGUUCCAAAAGUGUUCAGCCUCUGCCUCUCUUGCUUCACAAAACUAAAUUUCUGAAAGCCUGGAGACCAGUGGAGAUUAAGACGGUGGAGAGACUGAGUUGUGUGAAGGAAAUACACCUGCUGGAGGAUAACCUUCAUGUACUGGAGGCAAUUAUCAGAGAAAAAGACAGGGCACGAGAUGGCCAGUCUUUCCAGAAGGUGUCUACUACAUUGUCCCAGUUUCAGGACUGGACUCUCUGUCUCUAGUCUUAGCCUUCGGCAACCUCCUUCUGCCAGAAUGAUUCGCCAAAAUACAGGCCGGGAGGAAAGAGAAGUAGUGGGGAAAGUAUGGACCUCAAAUCCUUAUGCAGCAUUUACUAAGUCUGGGACUUUGAACAAUAAUAACUGUCAUCUAUUUGUGUCCCUCAUAUUUGCCAGUGUUGUGUAGGCACUUCAUAUACAUGAUUUCUACCCCUUGUGACAGGCCUGCACGGUGAAUAAUAUAAUUGCCAUUCAGGGGAGAGGGGCCGAGCUGUCAGAGUAGAAGGACCCUGAGCUUCCCUCCUCUCACACCAAAAUCACAACUGUCUGCAGAGCAACCAUCAGUGAAAAAGACUGGAACCUGUCAAAAAAGUUCAUCUACAACUAAAGACAUAAAGAAGAAACCACAACGAGAUGAGUAGGAGGGGUGGACUCACAAAUUCAUCAAAUCCCAUACCUACUGCGUGGGCAACUCACAAACUGGAGAACAAUCAUAUUGCAGAGGUUUUCCCACAGGAGUGAGAGCUCUGAGCCCCAUGUCAGACUCCCCAUCUUGGGAGUUCAGCUCUGAGAAGAUGAGCCCCCAGAGCUUCAGGCUUUGAAGACCUGUGAGGCUGAAUUGCAUGAACUCCUACAGGACAGGGGGACAUGGAGACUUAAAGGGUGCACACAAAAGCUCACACACACGGGGACCCAGGGCAAAAGCAGCAAUUCGACAGGAGCCUGAGUUAGACCUACCUGCUGGUCUUGGAGAGUCUCCUGGAGAGGCUGCGGUUGGGGGGGAGGGGGAGGGAACAGCUAUAGCUCAGGGACAUAGACACGGCUCUCAGACACACUGGGGGACAUUCAGCCAUGUGAACCCUGCUGCCUCUAGUAGCUGGACAGCUUGGCUCAUUAUUGCCAAGACCUCGUACUACCCACAGCCUAUAGGCACCAGUGUUGGGAUGCCUCAGACCAGACAACUAACUGAUUUGGGACAUAGCCCCAACCAUCAAUAGAUACGCUGCCUAAAGACUAAAGAUCCUACAGCCACCUCUGGACAUGCCCCUAGACCCAGCUCAGCCUGAGGGCCAAGACCCAGCUCUGUCUGCCAGCGGACAGGUACUUGUCCCUCCCAUCAGAAAGUUUGCACAGCCUCUAGGCCAGCCUUAACCACCAAGGGGGAAAACACCAAAAACAUGAAAACUAUAAUCCCACACCACAGGCCAGACCCCACCCGGGGGCCAGCUGGGCCCCAGCCCUGCCCACUAGCAGGCCAAAGAAAACUUUGGGCCCCCCCCCCCAAGACCCUACCCACCCAGCUGUGUCAGGAACUGCUUACCCAGCCAACAAUCUUAAACAAGUUUGGGGAUCCGGGGCCCUGUAGCCAGAUUCCAGGAACCAGUUCUGUCUGCCAGUAGUCUGGCACUAACCCCAGGACCUGGCCUUACCAGUGAGUCGGCAACAGCCCCAGUCUUUGGGACCCUGACUCCACCCCCCAGUAAGCCAGCACUAGCCAUGGGACCCCAAGGAUUCUGCAACCAGCCACCUUAUGACCAAGCCCUGCUAAAGAGAAGCCAGCAGCAUCUGCAUAUGGCAGGGUCUGGCAGCCAACCAGACCAGGGACCAACUAAGCCUACCAGACCCCCCACAUAGUCAGCCUUAACAGAAGGACCACGCAGAUAUCUCUAGCUUGGGUGACAAGGGGGAAGUGCAAUGCUGGGACGCAUAGGAUGCCUCCUACAAAGGCGAGAAACAUAACGAACCUACCACAUGCAUAAAAAUACCAACAGCAACUUAGAUAAAAUGAGGCAGCAGAGGAAUGUGUUCCAGAUGAAAGAACAUGGUAAAAUCCCAGAAGAAGAACUGAGUGAAGUGGAGACAGGCCAUCUAUUUAAAGAUGAUCAAAGAACUCGGGAGGAGAAUGGAUGCACAGAGAAGUGAGAAGCUUUUAACAAAGAAUUAGAAAAUAUACUUGCAAAAGAGGGAACUGAGGACCUGAAAGAUUAAUGAACUUGUCCUAGGGCCCAUUCCUGGUAAGUAGCAGGAUCUACCAUUUGACUCAAGGCAUUUAUUACUGGGCUAGACUCCCUCUCUGAGAUCCCAUUUCUUCAUGUGAAAAAUGCAUAUAAUCUUUAUUUUUUUUUUCAGGAUGACCUUAGGAUUAGGUAGGACUGGCUACAUAACUUGGGUCUGGUGCAAAAUGAAAAUGUGGGAUGGUCCUUUGUUAAAUAAUUACUAAAAGUUUCAAGACAGCACCAUCAGAACAUUAAACUGAGUGCAGGUCCCUUGAACACCCAUGCAUUGGCCCUGGGAGCGUGUUCCAAUCUCUUUCUGACCUCUGCUUUCCUGGGCACAUUACCUUCUCUGAUUCUGACCCACUUGAGUUCCUCUUAGAAGGACCCUUGUGAUGACACUGGACCCACUCAGACAAUCCAGGAACUUUCCCAUCUCAAGAUCCUACUUAAUCACAUCUGUAACGUCCCUUUUGGUUUGCAUGGUAACGUAUCCACAGGUUCCAGGAACUAGGAUGUGAACAUCUUUGGGGGACCACUCUUCAGCCUACUACAAUAAUAUUGUUGUUGUUCUUGGUAUUAUUAUUAUCAUCAUCUCAUUGUUGUACUGCUCUCCAUUUUCAAUCCUCCAUCAAUUCCAGGAUAAAGUCCAAACAUUUGCAGGACAUGGCCAGCUCAUUGCUAUCUGACCUAUGCCUAUUUUUCUAGCUUCAACUCUACUCCCCCACAUGCCUGGAACACUCCAGGAACAUUGAACAACCUGUAGUUCUUCAAUUGCAACCUGUUCUCACUUGCUGCCAGCCUCUUGCCUACCAUCAUUUCUGCACAGAAUAUGCUUUCCCACUUCCACUCUUCAACAUCCUUCUUCCCUCUCAAUUCUUUUUAUUACUAUUAUAAUUUUUUAACACUUAGCCCAGAUUUUCUCUUUGUGAAAUCUUUGAUCCACCACUUAUCUGUGACCUUGAGUUAGUUACUUCACUUCUCUAAGUCUCAGUUUUUCUAUCUAAAGAAUGAGAAUAAUAAAAUAGUUCCUACAUUAUUGUAAGGAACAAAUGACAUAAUCCACAGAAAGCACUUAACAGACUCUCUGACAGACGCUAAGUGCUCACAAAUAAGUUAUUUACAAUUGUCAUCAUAAAUAUUUCUCCCAAGGUAAUUUAAGAGCUGCUGCUUCUGUCUUCUAGUAGCCAUCAGUACAGAGAAGGUAGCAGGCUUUCCUGUAGUUGCCUGUUGAUUUGUCAUUCUACCUUGCUGUCCUGACAAUUCUUUGAGAUUAGGGACUCAAUCAUUUAUUUCCAUAUCCCUAGUGUCUUAGUGCAGGGAUUGUACCUGUAGGCUAGUAUAUAUUGAAGCAAAACAGAAAAUCACUCUUAGGAAGACACAUGCUAAUUCUAUUAUCAGACUAUUUCCAUAAAGCAUUCAUUUCAUUCUUAUCUUCCUAAAGUACCAGUCUAAAAAUAUUUCUUUUGCCUACCUUCUAUUUAAAUAAAAGU